UGGGGGAUAUUGCGCAAUGGGGGAAACCCUGACGCAGCGACGCCGUGUGAGGGAAGAAGGCUUUCGGGUCGUAAACCUCUGUCGGGAAGGAAGAACCCCUCGGGUCCCAAUAGGGCUCGAGGCUGACGGUACUUCCAAAGGAAGCACCGGCUAACUCCGUGCCAGCAGCCGCGGUAAUACGGAGGGUGCAAGCGUUAAUCGGAAUCACUGGGCGUAAAGCGCGCGUAGGCGGCCUUUUAAGUCGGACAUGAAAGCCCUCGGCUCAACCGGGGAAUUGCGUUCGAUACUGGGAGGCUUGAGUCCUGGAGAGGGUGGCGGAAUUCCGGGUGUAGGAGUGAAAUCCGUAGAUAUCCGGAGGAACACCGGUGGCGAAGGCGGCCACCUGGACAGGUACUGACGCUG
rnacentral:rRNA from 1 species